rnacentral:piRNA from 1 species
UAGGCAGAAAGAAAUUGAGGAAGACACUU